GACGAACGCUGGCGGCGUGCCUAAUACAUGCAAGUUGAGCGCUGAAGGUUGGUACUUGUACCGACUGGAUGAGCAGCGAACGGGUGAGUAACGCGUGAGGAAUCUGCCUUUGAGCGGGGGACAACAUUUGGAAACGAAUGCUAAUACCGCAUAAAAACUUUAAACACAAGUUUUAAGUUUGAAAGAUGCAAUUGCAUCACUCAAAGAUGAUCCCGCGUUGUAUUAGCUAGUUGGUGAGGUAAAGGCUCACCAAGGCGAUGAUACAUAGCCGACCUGAGAGGGGGAUCGGCCACAUUGGGACUGAGACACGGCCCAAACUCCUACGGGAGGCAGCAGUAGGGAAUCUUCGGCAAUGGACGAAAGUCUGACCGAGCAACGCCGCGUGAGGGAAGAAGGUUGUCGGAUCGGAAAACUCUGUUGGUAGAGAAGAACGUUGGUGAGAGUGGAAAGCUCAUCAAGUGACGGUAACUACCCAGAAAGGGACGGCUAACUACGUG
rnacentral:rRNA from 1 species